GAGCGCAAUGUCUGAAGUUGCAGCGAGGUGCCUGCGAGUGCUUGCAGGACACCAUCGUGGAUAUCUCUUCCAAUCUUGACGCGCUCUUCAAAGGCGGCUGCAUCGCUAAGGCGGCGCAGCAAUAUCGUUU
rnacentral:sRNA from 1 species